rnacentral:rRNA from 1 species
GUGGGGAAUCUUGCGCAAUGGGCGAAAGCCUGACGCAGCCAUGCCGCGUGAAUGAUGAAGGUCUUAGGAUUGUAAAAUUCUUUCACCGGGGACGAUAAUGACGGUACCCGGAGAAGAAGCUCCGGCUAACUUCGUGCCAGCAGCCGCGGUAAUACGAAGGGGGCUAGCGUUGCUCGGAAUUACUGGGCGUAAAGGGCGCGUAGGCGGACAGCUUAGUCAGAGGUGAAAGCCCAGGGCUCAACCUUGGAAUUGGCUUUGAUACUGGCUGUCUUGAGUUUUGGAGAGGUGAGUGGAACUCCGAGUGUAGAGGUGAAAGUCGUAGAUAUUCGGAAGAACACCAGUGGCGAAGGCGACUCACUGGCCCAAUACUGACGCUGAGGCGCGAAAGCGUGGGGAGCAAACAGGAUUAGAUACCCGGGUAGUC